GACGAACGCUGGCGGCGUGCCUAAUACAUGCAAGUCGAGCGAAGUUUUUCUGGUGCUUGCACCGGAAAAACUUAGCGGCGAACGGGUGAGUAACACGUAAAGAACCUGCCUUAUAGACUGGGACAACUAUUGGAAACGAUAGCUAAUACCGGAUAACAGCAUUAACUGCAUGGUUGAUGUUUGAAAGUUGGUUUUGCUAACACUAUGAGAUGGCUUUGCGGUGCAUUAGCUAGUUGGUGGGGUAAAGGCCUACCAAGGCGACGAUGCAUAGCCGACCUGAGAGGGUGAGCGGCCACACUGGGACUGAGACACGGCCCAGACUCCUACGGGAGGCAGCAGUAGGGAAUCUUCCGCAAUGGGCGAAAGCCUGACGGAGCAACGCCGCGUGAGUGAAGAAGGAUUUCGGUUCGUAAAGCUCUGUUGUUAGGGAAGAAUGAUUGUGUAGUAACUAUACACAGUAGAGACGGUACCUAACCAGAAAGCCACGGCUAACUACG
rnacentral:rRNA from 1 species